GCCAUCCUCAGCCACCUGCCAGGCUUGGUGCUCACCGGUGACAGUCCCUGCAGGCUGCACCAGGACCCAGACCCACCACAAGGCUCAGCUUGUCACUGUGAGCAGCAAGGUUUAGGGAACAGGAGAGCGUCCUAUGACUGCGAGAGCAACAGUGGGGACAACCAAGAAAGCACAUCACUCUUUCUCUUGAGGCUCUACACCUCUUUGUUCCUGCAAAGCUCCACGCUGGCCCAGACCCCACGCCUGGAAUUUGGCCUCCACAGCUGGAGUCUCCCCCACCUCAGCAGCACCAGGAGAGAAGUGAGGCUGGGAUCAGCAGCAUGGCUCUAAUCCUGGUGCAUUAAUGGGAUCAUUGGGAAGACCCCAACUUCUGCAACUCCAGCCUGAGACAGAGGGACAGAACCUUCACCUGUGACAGCUUCCCUGGAGUCCUCACCUCUUUGCUGAGCCCUGCUGCCUCCUCCCCAGCUGGUUCCUCACAUGAGACACCUCUGCUCAGCUCUGUGAAGGUCAGUGACAUGUGGCAUUGCUCAGGGACUGUCCUGUCCCCUCAGCUCAUCCCUUCCUGCUCCCUGGCACUGAUGCCCUCUUGCAAGGCCCCACAUCCCAGGCAAUGUCCCAGGCUUUGUGACACAGGACUGGGUUUCACCUGGACAGCCUCA